rnacentral:rRNA from 1 species
CCUACGGGAGGCAGCAGUGAGGAAUAUUGGUCAAUGGGCGCGAGACUGAACCAGCCAAGUAGCGUGAAGGAUGACUGCCCUAACGGUUGUAAACUUCUUUUAUAAAGGAAUAAAGUGAGGCACGUGUGCCUUUUUGUAUGUACUUUAUGAAUAAGGAUCGGCUAACUCCGUGCCAGCAGCCGCGGUAAUACGGAGGAUCCGAGCGUUAUCCGGAUUUAUUGGGUUUAAAGGGAGCGUAGAUGGGUUGUUAAGUCAGUGGUGAAAGUUUGCGGCUCAACCGUAAAAUUGCAAUUGAUACUGGCAGUCUUGAGUACAGUUGAGGUAGGCGGAAUUCGUGGUGUAGCGGUGAAAUGCUUAGAUAUCACGAAGAACUCCGAUUGCGAAGGCAGCUUACUAAACUGCCACUGACAUUGAUGCACGAAAGUGUGGGUAUCAAACAGGAUUAGAUACCCGAGUAGUC